UACGAUAUAACAUAGACGGUACACAUGGAAAACAAAGCCUGAAGUCUUUUAAAAAAUUUUAUGCUGCGCUUUUAGAUGCCAUUUCGCAAUUACCAGGUGUUACUAAUCCAGAAGAGCAAUUGCGCCGUGCUUUCAGGGUUCAAAAAAAGCGCCACUUUAAAAAUGCAGCAACAGCAAAUAAUCAGUAAUUAAUUUCUGAACUGAAUAAUUAAUAUAACGCCUUAUUCACACUUUGGACUGAAUCCUUAAUAUAAUUAUAAGAAAAGAAAGUACAAACUUAAGUUAUUUACUGAAUUUUGCCAUAAGAGCUUAACGUAUAUUUGCAAGUUUAAAAUGUAAGCGUAUUUAUAAAACAAAAUUGGUUCGAAAAGAACGUACAUAUGUACAGUUGCGCUAAAAAUAAUAGCAGUAAAAUUCAAAAUGAUGCUGUGGCAACUUAUCUUUAUUUAUUUAUUGUUAGUAAUUUUCAUUUUACAUAUGGGUCGAUCUACAUAUAUCAGAU